AUGUUCACUCUGAUACUGCUGCUGGCUGCUGGAUCCUGUGUGUACAGUAUUGAUCUCAUCCAACCAGACUCAAGGAUCGUGCAGCCUGGACAGUCUUUGACCAUCACCUGUCGCGUCUCUGGUUAUUCUGUAACUGGCUAUGGAACAGGUGUUGAUGGUCAGACUCUGACUGAGUCUGAACCAGUGGUUAAAAGGCCUGGAGAAUCCCACCCACUGACCUGUACAGCCUCUGGAUUCACAUUCAGUGCCUACUGGAUGGCCUGGGUCAGACAGGCACCUGGAAAAGCACUGGAGUGGGUUGCAAGCCAUUAUAACAGUGCUAACAUCCGCUACUCUCAGUCAGUCCAAGGACGAUUCACCAUCUCCAGAGACAACAGCAAACAGCAGGUGUAUCUGCAGAUGAACAGUCUGAAGACUGAAGACUCUGCUGUUUAUUAUUGUGCUCGAGAGUCACAGUGA